GGGCCCGUAGCUCAGUUGGUUAGAGCGCUUCCUUGACACGGAAGAGGUCACAGAUUCGAGUUCUGUCGGGCCCACCA
rnacentral:tRNA from 1 species